UACGGGGGGAGCAAGCGUUGUUCGGAUUUACUGGGCGUAAAGGGCGCGUAGGCGGCGCAACAAGUCACUUGUGAAAUCUCCGGGCUUAACUCGGAGCGGUCAAGUGAUACUGUCGUGCUAGAGUGCAGAAGGGGCAACUGGAAUUCUCGGUGUAGCGGUGAAAUGCGUAGAUAUCGAGAGGAACACCUGCGGCGAAGGCGGGUUGCUGGGCUGAUACUGACGCUGAGGCGCGAAAGCCAGGGGAGCGAACGGG
rnacentral:rRNA from 1 species